CCUACGGGAGGCAGCAGUGGGGAAUUUUGGACAAUGGACGCAAGCCUGAUCCAGCCAUGCCGCGUGCGGGAAGAAGGCCUUCGGGUUGUAAACCGCUUUUGUCAGGGAAGAAAAGGUUCUGGUUAAUACCUGGGACUCAUGACGGUACCUGAAGAAUAAGCACCGGCUAACUACGUGCCAGCAGCCGCGGUAAUACGUAGGGUGCAAGCGUUAAUCGGAAUUACUGGGCGUAAAGCGUGCGCAGGCGGUUAUGCAAGACAGAGGUGAAAUCCCCGGGCUCAACCUGGGAACUGCCUUUGUGACUGCAUAGCUAGAGUACGGUAGAGGGGGAUGGAAUUCCGCGUGUAGCAGUGAAAUGCGUAGAUAUGCGGAGGAACACCGAUGGCGAAGGCAAUCCCCUGGACCUGUACUGACGCUCAUGCACGAAAGCGUGGGGAGCAAACAGGAUUAGAUACCCUGGUAGUCCACGCCCUAAACGAUGUCAACUGGUUGUUGGGAGGGUUUCUUCUCAGUAACGUAGCUAACGCGUGAAGUUGACCGCCUGGGGAGUACGGCCGCAAGGUUGAAAACUCAAAGGAAUUGACGGCNGAGAGNGCGAGACGACACGAGGAGAGG
rnacentral:rRNA from 1 species